GAUUCCUGUGCCUACUGAGCUGAUUAUCAGUCCUAUAGAACCACUGGCUCAGUUCAGCAGGAACAGGAG
rfam:Oryzias latipes DNA, chromosome9, strain: Hd-rR.